rnacentral:rRNA from 1 species
CAGCAGCCACGGUAAUACGAAGGGUGCAAGCGUUACUCGGAAUUACUGGGCGUAAAGCGUGCGUAGGUGGUGGUUUAAGUCCGUUGUGAAAGCCCUGGGCUCAACCUGGGAAUUGCAGUGGAUACUGGAUCACUAGAGUGUGGUAGAGGAUAGUGGAAUUUCCGGUGUAGCAGUGAAAUGCGUAGAGAUCGGAAGGAACAUCUGUGGCGAAGGCGACUAUCUGGGCCAACACUGACGCUGAGGCGCGAAAGCGUGGGGAGCAAACAGGAUUAGAUACCCGUGUAGUCCCUGUCUCUUAUAC